UACGUACGAGGCGAGCGUUAUCCGGAAUUAUUGGGCGUAAAGCGCGCGCAGGCGGGCUGUUAAGUAGGACGUGAAAUUUCCCGGCCUAACUGGGAGGAGUCGUUCUAAACUGGCAGUCUUGAGGACAGCAGAGGUAGGUGGAAUUCCUGGUGUAGUGGUGCAAUGCGUAGAGAUCAGGAGGAACACCGGUGGCGCAGGCGGCCUACUGGGCUGUCACUGACGCUGAGGCGCGAAAGCUCUGGGAGCGAACGGG
rnacentral:rRNA from 1 species